CAUAAUAAUUUUUGCCUAGGAAACAUAAAUGUCAGCAAAAUUUCAAAGAAAAAAAUCUAUAAAAUGCGUAAGCAACUGGCACAAAUCACUUUUCAUGGCAUUUCCCUGACACUUCUCAACUUUGUGGUUCAGGAGACAAUACGAUAUCGCAGAUCGUAAGAAACCUAGGAAUUCCCAACACAAAUCCGGUUGUCGAUCAUCCAAUUUUAAAAAAACCACAAUUUUUCAAUUCUGCUUCUGUGGAAAAACUUGAUGGCAUUUCAUUAAUCCGAGAUUUUAGCAUGGCUUUGCGGCUGCCGCUGCUCUCUGCAGCACUUUAUGAAAUUCUAAUAGGUGUGCGGCAUGUGUCCAGAUUAGUUCCAUAUAUAUAUAUAUAUCUAUAUAUAGGGAAAGGUAUAUACGUACAUAUGGGCACCUCGCAGACUUUGGGUCAGCUUAAAAGCUUCCGUUGCAGGCCACACCUGUGGCCUCUAAUGCGACCGGCGGCAGGAAUACACUGAGGGAAAUAUAUAUUCAACAAUUGAGAUGGUAAAAUGCUGAUCAAAUUUCAAUUUAUAUAAUUUAAGAGCCAUUCUGACUUGUAACAGAUGAUUUUGUAAAGAUUUUUAAGGACAAAAUUAAAAGAAUAUCUUACGCA